rnacentral:rRNA from 1 species
UACGGAGGAUCCAAGCGUUAUCCGGAAUCAUUGGGUUUAAAGGGUCCGUAGGCGGCUUUAUAAGUCAGUGGUGAAAUCCGGCAGCUCAACUGUCGAACUGCCAUUGAUACUGUAGGGCUUGAAUUAUUGUGAAGUAACUAGAAUAUGUAGUGUAGCGGUGAAAUGCGUAGAUAUCAAGAGGAACACCUGAGGUGAAGACGGGUUGCUGGGCCAACACUGACGCUGAGGCGCGAAAGCGUGGGGAGCGAACAGG